UACAGAGGUGGCAAGCGUUGUUCGGAAUUACUGGGCGUAAAGGGCGCGUAGGCGGUGUGUCAAGUCAGGCGUGAAAGCCCCGGGCUCAACCUGGGAACCGCGCUUGAGACUGGCACGCUAGAGUUCGGGAGAGGAUGGUGGAAUUCCCAGUGUAGAGGUGAAAUUCGUAGAUAUUGGGAAGAACACCGAUGGCGAAGGCAGCCAUCUGGACCGACACUGACGCUGAGGCGCGAAAGCGUGGGGAGCAAACAGG
rnacentral:rRNA from 1 species